rnacentral:rRNA from 1 species
AUUGAACGCUGGCGGCAUGCUCUACACAUGCAAGUCGAACGGUAACAGGCCGCAAGGUGCUGACGAGUGGCGAACGGGUGAGUAAUGCAUCGGAACGUGCCCAGUCGUGGGGGAUAACGCAGCGAAAGCUGGGCUAAUACCGCAUACGAUCUGUGGAUGAAAGCGGGGGACCGAAAGGCCUCGCGCGAUUGGAGCGGCCGAUGUCAGAUUAGGUAGUUGGUGGGGUAAAGGCUCACCAAGCCGACGAUCUGUAGCUGGUCUGAGAGGACGACCAGCCACACUGGGACUGAGACACGGCCCAGACUCCUACGGGAGGCAGCAGUGGGGAAUUUUGGACAAUGGGCGCAAGCCUGAUCCAGCAAUGCCGCGUGCAGGAAGAAGGCCUUCGGGUUGUAAACUGCUUUUGUACGGAGCGAAAAGGCUCUCUCUAAUACAGGGGGCUCAUGACGGUACCGUAAGAAUAAGCACCGGCUAACUACGUGCCAGCCGCCGCCGUAACAC